AGAGUUAACAAAUGUGUGCUGCGAAAAAAGUAGUAGGGAGUUUGAAGAUUCGUGGAAUUUUGUGAUAUGCUACUACGUAUUUAAAAUAAUUCCUUAUGUUUUAUAUUUAAUUUUUGAUAAAUAAUUCUUUCCUUUUUAUCCCUUAAGUUUAAUUCAUUCCAAGGAGUAAAAAACAUAAGUUAACAGUAUUUUCAUUUAUUUUUUCUUACGUUUUUUCAUAUGCAUACGCGUGAAAUGUGAUACAUCAAAUGUUAAUGGUUUGCUAAGAUCAAAAAACUAAUUAUAAUAACACUCUUAGAAACAGUUAUCUUUUAAUGUGUGAAUUGAAGCAUAGUUAAAUUAUUCGAUAUCUUAUUAAUAAUCAUGGAUAAAUUAAGAAGAGCUUUGAGCGGUAAAGAGGAGUGCGAUGAGGAAAGUGGUAUCAUUGCACAGGCUGAUGUUAAUUUCGUGGUUAUGGAUCAAACAACACUGAGUUGGUCGACACGCAUAAAAGGUUUCGCUAUUUGUUUUGUCAUAGGCAUUCUUUGUUCUUUUCUUGGAUCAUUUGCCUUAUUUUUAAGAAGAGGACUCACAAUAUUUGCGAUAUUUUACACAUUAGGAAAUAUCAUUUCACUAGCAAGUACUUGUUUUUUGAUGGGUCCUGUAAAUCAAUUAAAAAAAAUGUUUGCUGCGACAAGAAUUAUUGCUACUAUUUUAGUAUUCGUAUCAAUUGGUAUGACAUUAUUUGCAGCUUUACACUUAAACAAUCCUGGUUUGGCUCUUAUAUUUAUCAUUAUUCAAUCUAUAGCAAUGACUUGGUAUUCCUUAUCAUAUAUACCAUAUGCACGAGAUGCUGUAAAGAAAACUGUUGAAUCUUGUAUAACGUAAACAUAUAUCGCUUGGAAAGAAAAAAGAAAUAUUGAAUACCAUUGUAUUAAUCAUAUUUAUAAAAAUCUAAAACUUUUGUACAUAUUCUUUGAGUGUAUCAUGUUUGAUAUAUUUUUAAAAAUCAGAAUGCUGUUAUAUAAGUAUUAAUUUAUUACUAUGAAGUUAAACAAGGGAAAAAAAUAUCAAUUAAAAUUGAAACGACGUUUCCCAUCAAAUCGGAAACCAUAAGCGGCACUAUUAGGUGCAUCUACUAAAGCUGGAUUUCUGUAAAGAUGAAAAGUUCCAUGAAGGUGUGCUGGUCUCGCAGCAUUUUGUUCUUCAGCUUCUUUUCCUUUUAAAUAAAAUGCUUCAAAUUGACCACCAGAUAAUAAGAUAUUUUUUAAAGAUUUAUCGUCUGGAUCAUAGGCAAAUGCUUGGAUCGUCAGACAACUGAAAAACCAAAUGAUCUAUGAGGUCCUUUGUUAAACUCGUUCCAAAAAUAUUGCAGAGAGAAUAAAAUUAUAUAUAUUCUUGUUUAUAAUAUUU